rnacentral:rRNA from 1 species
CCGAAUGGGGAAACCCAGUGUGACUCGUCACACUAUCAUUAACUGAAUCCAUAGGUUAAUGAGGCGAACCGGGGGAACUGAAACAUCUAAGUACCCCGAGGAAAAGAAAUCAACCGAGAUUCCCCCAGUAGCGGCGAGCGAACGGGGAGGAGCCCAGAGCCUGAAUCAGCAUGUGUGUUAGUGGAAGCGUCUGGAAAGGCGCGCGAUACAGGGUGACAGCCCCGUACACAAAAGCGCAUAUGCUGUGAGCUCGAUGAGUAGGGCGGGACACGUGGUAUCCUGUCUGAAUAUGGGGGGACCAUCCUCCAAGGCUAAAUACUCCUGACUGACCGAUAGUGAACCAGUACCGUGAGGGAAAGGCGAAAAGAACCCCGGCGAGGGGAGUGAAAAAGAACCUGAAACCGUGUACGUACAAGCAGUGGGAGCCCCACCACUAAGCCAGUGGUGAACUCCACAUACGCAUCCUUUGCUGAGGAUACGGUUAACGGAGCGAAAGCGACGUUCAACCGCAAAAGAAGCAGAGGGGGCUUAGUGGUGGGGUGACUGCGUACCUUUUGUAUAAUGGGUCAGCGACUUAUAUUCUGUAGCAAGGUUAACCGAAUAGGGGAGCCGGAGGGAAACCGAGUCUUAACCGGGCGUUAAGUUGCAGGGUAUAGACCCGAAACCCGGUGAUCUAGCCAUGGGCAGGUUGAAGGUUGGGUAACACUAACUGGAGGACCGAACCGACUAAUGUUGAAAAAUUAGCGGAUGACCUGUGGCUGGGGGUGAAAGGCCAAUCAAACCGGGAGAUAGCUGGUUCUCCCCGAAAGCUAUUUAGGUAGCGCCUCGUGAA